GGCGCGGGGCCGGGUCGGGGCGCGGGGGCCCGGGCGGCAUCCUCCCGGGCCCAGGGCCUGGCGGGCGCGGGGCGGCGGGAGGACGGAGAGGCGGCCCCGCGGGAACUGCGCGCGCAGACUCGCCUCUUCGCGGCGGGCACGCGGGACCGAGGUCUCGGGGCCGAGGGUGGCGCUCCCGCGGUUGGGGGGUGGGGGACGAGAACUCUUUUGAGAUCUGAGGUCGCCGGUGAGUCACUGGACCGAGGUAGAAGCGCCUUUAUUGCUGGAGGAGAUCCCCUAGGGCGAUGUCUACCUGGUGUGCCCUCGCCUGCACUUCGGCCGUGCCAGCCUUUGAUUCAAUCUCCUGUUCCCGUGGGAGGCAGGGACCGUGGCCUCUCGUCUUCAGUGUGGUUUAGUUUGGAGUAGCUUCAGAACAACUUUGCAAAUACGUGGUAGAGUGACUGAGGUGGGGAGAAGGUGUGGACUGGGGUGCAGAGAUGUGUUGGUAUGAUUCCAUGCUGGUUUCCAUCGUGGGGAUGGCACUGUACACAGGAUAUGUCUUCAUGCCUCAGCACAUCAUGGCGAUACUGCACUACUUUGAAAUUGUACAGUGACCAAGAUGUGACCAAAAUCAAGAGGUUCUUUAGGGAAGAGCCACUGUCUGAAGUUGGAACGAGACUUCAUCAGAUGUCAUAAGAAACUCUACUAGAUGUCAACAUAACCGACCCUCUGAAUAUAAAGACUAAAAUUUAUGAGUAGAACAGGAAAACAAUCCUGACUCAUGUGUUGUGUUCUUUAUUUUUAAUUUUAAAAGAGGCUCUUGUAUAGUAGUUUUUGUCUAUUUUAACAUUGUAGUCAUUUGUACUUUGAUAUCAGUAUUUUCUUAACCUUUGUGACUGUUUCAAUAUUACCCAGUGAAAGCUUUUCUUAAUGUAAUUUUGAGUACAUUUUAAUUGCCUUCUAUUUCUAAAACCCAAAGUCAUUAGUUGGGCUUUAUGGUUCUUGCUAUCAUAUGGCAUACAUAUCUGCCUGGAUAUAUUUCUACUCUUGACCAAAGUUUUGUAAGAAAAAAUUCACGAUUUGGGGCAGGGGGCUGGGGAGGGAGGAUAUUUUCUUGAGAACUAUUUACAAAAGACUUACCUGUAAGUUUGAACUCAGGAGUACGGUUUUAGCUCUCUGGACUCUACUCUUAACAGCUUUUACUUUAAAACUAUUAAAGUGUUUCUUAACAAUGAAAAAGGAAGAUCUUGCUGAAGUUAAAAUAAGGAACAUUUCACCUUUUAAAUAUUUAAUUUGUGUGUGGACUCAUUUCCAGAAAACUUUGGUGAUGGUUCUUGUGACAAAUGGUGGUGAAGUAGCAUUAUUAUGUAAUGCUUAUAUAUAGUAGAGCUUUUAAUAGAAGGUAAAUCAAUUUCCUCUGAGGGCCAUUAGUAACAAUGUACUUCUUUAAAUUUAGUGUCAUGAUUGUAAUGGGUGCUGCAAAUGCAUUUGCACAUUGUAAUAUGAUGAGAUGAAUUGUUAAAAACUAUAGCAAAAAGAAAUGUAAACUUGGUUAAAAUCCUCUCACUCUUUGUAUUGCUUUUUUUUUAAAAAGAUUUUUAUUCCUUAAAUGUAAAAUGACUACCUAAUUUUUUGAUGUAAACUCAUUAAAUUCAAAGAGAGA